rnacentral:rRNA from 1 species
CCUACGGGGGGCUGCAGUAAGGAAUAUUGGUCAAUGGACGCAAGUCUGAACCAGCCAUGCCGCGUGCAGGAUGACGGCCCUAUGGGUUGUAAACUGCUUUUGUACGGGAAAAAACCCUCGCUCGUGAGCGGGGCUGAUGGUACCGUAAGAAUAAGGAUCGGCUAACUCCGUGCCAGCAGCCGCGGUAAUACGGAGGAUCCAGGAGUUAUCCGGAUUUAUUGGGUCUAAGGGGUGCGCAGAAGUCAGUGGUGAAAUCCUGCAGCUUAACUGCAGAACUGCCAUUGAUACUGUUUGUCUUGAGUAUAGUUGAAGUGGGCGGAAUGUGUCAUGUAGCGGUGAAAUGCUUAGAUAUGACACAGAACACCAAUUGCGAAGGCAGCUCGCUAAGCUAUAACUGACGCUCAUGCACGAAAGCGUGGGGAUCAAACAGGAUUAGAUACCCUUGUAGUC